rnacentral:rRNA from 1 species
GACGUAGGGGGCGAGCGUUGUCCGGAUUUAUUGGGCGUAAAGCGCGCGCAGGCGGUUCGGAAAGUCGGGUGUGAAAACCCGGGGCUCAACCCCGGACCUGCAUCCGAUACUCCCGGACUGGAGGCAGGUAGGGGAGAGCGGAAUUCCCGGUGUAGCGGUGAAAUGCGCAGAUAUCGGGAAGAACACCGGUGGCGAAGGCGGCUACUCUGGACCUGUCCUGACGCUCAGGCGCGAAAGCUAGGGGAGCGAACAGG